rnacentral:rRNA from 1 species
AACGAACGCUGGCGGCAUGCCUAACACAUGCAAGUCGAACGAGAUCUUCGGGUCUAGUGGCGCACGGGUGCGUAACGCGUGGGAAUCCGCCCUUUGGUUCGGAAUAACAGUUGGAAACGACUGCUAAUACCGGAUGAUGACGAAAGUCCAAAGAUUUAUCGCCAGAGGAUGAGCCCGCGUAGGAUUAGCUAGUUGGUGUGGUAAAGGCGCACCAAGGCGACGAUCCUUAGCUGGCCUGAGAGGAUGAUCAGCCACACUGGGACUGAGACACGGCCCAGACUCCUACGGGAGGCAGCAGCGGGGAAUAUUGGACAAUGGGCGAAAGCCUGAUCCAGCAAUGCCGCGUGAGUGAUGAAGGCCUUAGGGUUGUAAAGCUCUUUUACCCGGGAUGAUAAUGACAGUACCGGGAGAAUAAGCUCCGGCUAACUCCGUGCCAGCCGCCGCAGUAA